UGGCUAUCUUGAAAUACUGGCUUAGUUCCUUGUUUCAGAUCAAAUUUAGAAUUUUUUUCUUUCAAGAUUAUAGUAGAAGCUUUAAAUAGUUGUGUGCUUAUAUCAUGAUAAAGUAAUGAAUUCUUACGAAAUGGAAGAGACUGCAUACGCUAGUGAAGCAGUGACGGGAGUACAGGACUUCACUGCAAUGGAAAUAAUUUCUUUCAAAAUAUAGAUCAACUGAGAUAAAAUAAAAUUUGGUCCAAUUUUUUGACCUGUGUGAAUUGGCAUAAAUUAUAUGCCUGCUGCUAAAUGUAUUUCCUAUCUGUUCUCUUUUCAUGCAUAUAUGUAUGUAUUCUCAGUGUCUCUAUAGAUAUUAUAAUUUUAAAUUAAGGAUUUAAAAGAUGGGAGUUCUUUGAAUAAAACUUCUUGAAUUUGUUGAUCUUUACAAAGACAUGAAACACAGACCUUCCUUGCCCUUCCCCUAGAACAUUCAUGUCAUGGUUUAAGAAGUUAUAGCCCUACAAAGACUUUUCAAAUCUGCUGUCAUUAUUUUGGAAGAGGAUGUUAGAACACUGCCCUUACUUGGUACCUGCUGCAAAAUGACAGGAAGUCAAAUGGACAAAUGCAAAUACAAACACAGCUGUGCGGAAUAUCUGGCUGAAGGUUUCUUUUGGAUAACAUCUGUUUCCCCAGAUUCAUAAUCACAAAGGAGUACAUGUCCUAAGUGCAUCUCAAAAAUGGAGUUCUUCCUUUCUGUUUGGUGGAUAGUGGGUAUCAUGAAGUGAUUGCUUUUCCUGCUGGCUAAGUCAAAGUGCCGUAUGGCCCACUUCAAUGGAAGUCUAUUUACUCUGCAGUUCUAUAUCUUUAGGUUAAAAUUAAAAUGCUAAAAUGCAGAUGAAGAUUGGUUUUAAAAAAAAGUUCUGCUGUGUCUUAAGAGUGCAGAGGGUCAAGAUCCUGAAGCCAUUUUUUUUUUCACUUUCAGGUUGGAAAAAAGCAGUGAAGUCAAUUUCAUCUUCACCUUGAGAAAUACUGUGCAGAGCAUUGAGCAACAAACAUACUGUUCUCCCAGUGUGAAGGAGAUAGAGCUGAAGCAUGUCUAUCACUAUCAGCAUCCUCCACAUACACAAAAAAAAAGCCAGUUUUUUUCAAAUGAAACAUUAGUGCUGAGUCAGCAAUGAUUUAUAACUUUUGAUUUUUGAUGUGGGGGCUAUAAGCAUGGAAAGUUCUGUUAGAUCUCUGUUCAUAGUAUUGAUAACCAGGUUUUCAAGUUUGUAGACAUUAUAACCCAAGGCAGGUUUAACUUCUUAUAUGACUGAACUGCAUUUAUGGGGUUUCUCCAAGAAAGAGAAAUAACUGAGUUAAAUGACACCAUCAGUUCUUAUAAUCAGGAGAAGGCUGGGAGUAACGUGUGGUAAAAUUAAUGGAAAUUGCAGCAAAAUCAGCAAACUUGACACCUGCUGAUAUACAAAGUCUGGAAUAAAUUGUUACAUGCUAAUCUCA
rnacentral:lncRNA from 1 species